UCAAACUUGGUCAUUUAGAGGAAGUAAAAGUCGUAACAAGGUUUCCGUAGGUGAACCUGCGGAAGGAUCAUUACCGAAUCUCUAUGCUGUGCGCAUCGCACGCAUGACACACCCACACACACUGUGCACGUGGCGGAUUGCGAUCCGUCGUCAUCACUCACUUCACGCAUGUCACGAAUGUAUACCUUUUGAUAAAAAAAACACAACUUUCAACAACGGAUCUCUUGGCUCCCGCAUCGAUGAAGAACGCAGC
rnacentral:misc_RNA from 1 species